rnacentral:lncRNA from 1 species
UUGAGAGAUGAAGAGAAAGACGUGAAAAAGGGAGGGAGACCAAUAGCUGCUGGAGGUAGCUAUCACCUAGGGGUGUGUCUUAAGGCCAGCCUUGAAAGCGGUUAUAUAGGCAGUGUAAGCUUUGUAAGUUUGAGCAUCUCCUAUUGGUUGCAGUCUUUCCAAUCUGAAGGUGUCCAUGUACAUUCCUGACGUCAUGGUUUAACAACCACUCGCUUCAGAACUAGAUUUUAAAAAAAAUCCCCAACAAAUUACUGCCCUGACGAUGCCAAGCUCGCGAAGCAGAAAAAUCUAGACCGUGCACCAAGGUUAGCAGUGACGUGGAAAGGUCAGCUCGGAGCUAAACCAGGUGGACGUGAGGAAUGAUUAAAACCGCUCGCUUCCGCGUCGUCCGGGGACGUUAAGGACGAUAAACUGGGGGUCAACGUCUGGCAGACGAGCAUCGCACGAAUCGUCCCAGCUCACCUGAGAGAGCUGGCAGUCGGACGAGCUGUCACGUGGUCGUCGGGUGCAGCGAUAAGCACGUGACCAGCGAGAAGCCCUCGUCUGGCAGACGACACGUGAGGUGCUAACAUCACGUGAUCACAGGGAGAUGCGGCAGCUCCUUGCAGGAAACAUGGGCUGGCUCAAACGUGACUUUAAUGGCACAAAAUUCAUGGAAACGUUCUGCUGGAGACUUUGCUAAGGUGAAUAUCCUGAAAGUGAUGGAGGGGAAGGCAUUCAUCCAGAUUUUAAGAUUUUUGUUUUCUUUCUUAUAUUGAUGCACCGGAUCUCGAUGAGGCUUCGAGAAGGAUGACAACCUGAAUUCUAGUGACUGGCGGGGCAGUGAACGUAGGUGGUCCACCGUGUCUAGUGUACCGCAGGGAGAGGACCCCAACCUUCUGUUCUGCACCUUCACUUUUUCUGGUAAAUCAUGUGACCACUUCUGCUAAUGAGAUUGCUGGAUGGACUGGAGAAAAAGUUUUUCAGCCCAGACCACUAAUAAUCCUUCUGCUCCAUAGUCGUCAGUCCAGUCGAGGGCUUUAACAACCCGCCGAGAACUGCUCUGUUACUUAUGUACACCUGGUUUUUCAUUGUGAGGUUUUCCGAGCAAAGAAUUAUGUGCAUGGACUAGUGAUCACAUUUCCCCAAAACAAAAAAUGCUUUCAUCGACGAUGUUCGGAAUAAACGUUUUAAGCUCACAGGUCAUGGUCAGAGAGACGGAGGGAGGGAACAAAAGAUUUACUUCUGGACAGUAUCGGAGGAUGAUCACGAGAGAUGACCGAUGUGACCACCACAACGAUGUCACAACGACACGAUCCAAGCAGUCGAAGGGAGACAAUUCGAAGUGAUUAAAUUCGAUUCAGUAAAGAAAGGAAGGAGAGAAGGAAAUGAAUGAAAAAACAAACAAAAAAACAAAAAAACCACCUACCCACCCUCCGACAUGCACUUUGAUGUUCAACAGUUAUUAUUGCUGACCAGAUGUUUGUUGUUGACUUGCAUCAUUUGGCCGGUCAGGGUGUGGAGAGGGUGAAGGUCGAAGACAAUUUUUCAUGUUCAGGCUAUGGGGGUCAAAGUUCAAGUGUCAUUCUCUGCUGCGUGUGCAUACAUUAAACAUCUCCAAGUCGCUAACCGGAGUACAGAAGUGUACAUCUAGAUGAUUAUUUGAGCCAUAGCUUAAAUUAUUUAAUUAAAAAAUUAUGAGAAAUGAGGAAGAAAAGGGAUGGCCAUAAUUUUUUCUUUUUUACAACUUUGGCAUAUCUCUGUAUUUUUUUUCAUUGUUUGAGCUCGCAUGCGUCAUGCCCCUCAACUAUAAACAAUUUCCCUAUUUGUUGUGCUUACAUCUUCUAUAGCACUUAAAUAAAGAAAUAACAAAGAGAAAUAAUAAAUAAGUCUUUGCUGAAAAAAAUGAGAAAAGCUUUUAUGUAGUUCUCCUCUUACAAUUUAAAUGUAAUGAAAUGUAUUUUAUGUGAUGAAUUUCUAAAAGCAAGACCAACAGUCCCAGACUGAACAUUGUAUGCCAAGGAUGUCCAGUUGUGCCAUCUGACGGAAAUUAUCGACUAAUCAAUUUAUUUUCACAAUCACAAAAAGAGACCUUUUCGAAACUUGUCGUUCAUCGUCGUUGUACUGCAAGCAGAAGAAUCAGAUUUUUUUUUAAAUAUUCAAUUUUGGAUAAAAAUGAAGGUUUCAAAGCGGAAUUAAAAUGAGCAAGCCGUUAAAACGUUUUAAUAUAAAAAUACUUAGUAAAAUAUAUUUUAUCUUGUUUUUUUGUUCUGUUCUCUUUCCUCCGCUGAGAUUGAGAUAGUCAUGACCAGACGCUUCAACUGGAUUGUCCUUCACCUCUUCUAUUCUUUAUUUUCUUUUUCUUUCUUUCUUUGAUGUGGCAUUGACUAUUACUUUAAAACUACCCGAGUUUAUUGCACAAAUUUUCGCUGAAAUAAUGGCCAGAUCUGUAUCAUUCACAACACAGUGUGUGUCGGCUGUUUCCUGUGAAAUAACGAUGCCGUGUCAGCAGUUUCAGCUUUUGUCAUAAAUUCUUCAGCACCUGAUGUUCAGAAACUUUUUUCCACUUUAAGUUAGCCUGCGUAUAGUGCAUGCAACCCUCGUCAAUCCUUUCUUUUCAGUCUAUCCUUUGCCUCGUCCUGACUUUUUUUCCCCCUCGAGCAAUUUCUUCCUUGUAAAAAGGCAAACCAGGUAUGCUCCGUGUCAUUAAUUCGUUCCUCGUCGCGCGAUCUUCCCCUUCUCCUUAUAUGAUAAUCGCCAGACCGAGCGUCGGCGAGCGAGGAAAACGAAAAGGGGGAAGGUGCGGUCAUUAUGCUCGGCACGAAAGUGGGCGGAGCUUACGGGAGCGUCUGGCCUCGAUAACCUCAGAAGAGCGGAACCCGUCAUGCGCUUGCGCGCAGCCAGCGCUAUUGUAAACGGAGCAACUAAUCAGAGCGCGCGCAGCAGCCAGGGUCACAAGGUUUGACACCUCGUGCGCACCGCCAGCUCAGGCGCCCUGUCGCUUUUUUUUUUUUUAGGCCAGGCUCCGCCCAUUUCUCCAGCGCGCCUUUUUUGCCCUGACUGCUAAUGUAGACUACGAAGGGGGUCAGGAGAUAAAAGAAAUGGGUAAGGAUCGGAAAAACGUGGUUUCAAUACUCAGUCUUUUUUCUUCUUUUUUUUUUUUUGAGAGUUGAGUGGUGUGUCAUGUUUGUGGCAAGAUAAAACUUAGUCCAAACCGAGCGGCUGUCGAGGGAGGUUUUGACAGAGAGGUCACUGACAGGGCGGGCAACGAUGACGUAAUGUCUGGAAUUUGUAAUGUCCUGGCCGAGCUAAACGCAAAGUGAGUCUCGGCGUGGCGGCGUGUACUUUACGUAUGUGGGAGAGAAAAGAAACUUGAAUGUUGUGUAUUAAAGAUGUGUAGCCUAAACCGAGCUGUUUGUAGUUUUAUCCUCAAAACGUUUGAAUGUGUGUACGUGUAUGUGUGUUUUGUUUUAAUGUGAUGUGAUUUCAAAAAAUGAAAGAGGUGAAGGUCUUCAUGCAAAAGCUAAUCAGGCAAGUAUGUUUCUUUUCUUCAAGGAAACUGAACCAAAAUAACAAAAUAACCACACAGACAUACACGUGACAGAUGAAUGAAUGUAUAUGAUGAAACGUUUGUUUCAAAGUAGUCCUUGUUUAUACGAGUGUGACUAAGACCUACCCAGAGUAAACCUGUGUGAAUGACAUCCAGGAAACAAUACUUGUGUAUGUCUAUAUAGAUUAUUUAAACAGUAUUUUAGUUAGAUAUACAUAUUAUCAAGGCAAGUUAGUUUUUGUUGUCUGGGGAGACAGGAUAACGUGCAAGAUAAGUGUGAAUCUAUUUUCAGGCACUGGAAAAAAUAGACAUGAGGGAACCUCUUUUUACAACCAGAUUACUUACCAGGUCCGUUACUUGGAGAUAUAUAUAUACUAAAUCUCUCUCAUAUCUUUCUCUCUCUCUCAUGCUGAGCAGCCCCGGCAUGCUUCGCCUCGUGUUGUAGAAUCUGUUGAUGUGUGUCUCUCUGUUUGCUGAUAUUAUUUUAGUCUGUCUUUAGGACUUUAGCGAGGUCUCAACACACUUAGACAAAGAUGUAGACCAACACGUGACUAAAGGUGGUACAUAAGAAGAGACUGAUUACAGGGAAUGAUGAACAGGAGAUGUAAUAAGCAGGGAAGAGAGAGAAGGAAAGGGAAGAGGAACAAUUCUUGUUUCCCUUUUCUCAUUCAUAGCUAUAUUCGGAGGUUUUUUUGUCACCAUUUCCCUUUUCUUCCUUUCUCCCAUUUGAUUCUGAGAAUCAUCACAGUGACUUCAAUUCUUUAAUAAGAAGAACUUCAUAAAGAGUUCAUGAAGCUAGACUCGUGAUGUGCCCCAUGCCGGGUACAGUCAGCUCACAUCUCCAUUUCCACCAAGCUAAACUUGGAGUUUGUUCACAUGUGUUGUCUAGACGUUCCAGCUUCACUUUCUUACCAUCAGCUUGUUUAAGACAUUAUGUGGAUGACAGAAAGUAUAGAAUUCUGCAGCCUGCCCUGUUCUCAAGUUUAAAAAGAUUUUUUAAAGAAUUGCAUUACACUUG